UAAUAAGUGUUUUAUGGCACUUUUUAAAUCCAUAUCCACCUUGUGUGCAAUGUCAGUCGAUCUUCUUCAUGGAGAUCGACCAAACAUCAACCUUUAUCUUUUAACAUCUUUGUCUUAAAAAUAUUAUGAAUAAACAAUUCAAAAUA
rnacentral:misc_RNA from 1 species